GCACUGGUCGUCUAGCGGCGAAGACUCCGCUCUCGUACAGCGGCGACGCCGGUUCGAGUCCGGCCCGGUGCUC
rnacentral:tRNA from 1 species